rnacentral:rRNA from 1 species
UACGUAGGUGGCAAGCGUUGUCCGGAAUUACUGGGCGUAAAGCGCGUGUAGGCGGCUAUGCAAGUCGGGCGUGAAAUCCCACGGCUCAACCGUGGAAGUGCACUCGAAACUGCGUAGCUAGAGUCCUGGAGAGGAAGGUGGAAUGCUUGGUGUAGAGGUGAAAUUCGUAGAUAUCAAGCGGAACACCGGUGGCGAAGGCGGCCUUCUGG